AACGAACGCUGGCGGCAGGCUUAACACAUGCAAGUCGAGCGGAAAGGCCUCUUCGGGGGUACUCGAGCGGCGAACGGGUGAGUAACACGUGAGUAAUCUGCCCUUCACUCUGGGAUAGCCACCGGAAACGGUGAUUAAUACCGGAUACGACACGUCCAGGCAUCUGGUGCGUGUGGAAACUUUUUGGGUGGGGGAUGUGCUCGCGGCCUAUCAGCUUGUUGGUGGGGUAAUGGCCUACCAAGGCUUCGACGGGUAGCCGGCCUGAGAGGGUGACCGGGCACACUGGGACUGAGACACGGCCCAGACUCCUACGGGAGGCAGCAGUGGGGAAUAUUGGACAAUGGGCGGAAGCCUGAUCCAGCAACGCCGCGUGAGGGAUGACGGCCUUCGGGUUGUAAACCUCUUUCAGCACCGACGAAGCGAUCCUUUGGGGAGUGACGGUAGGUGCAGAAGAAGGACCGGCCAACUACGUGCCAGCCGCCGCCGUAAAAC
rnacentral:rRNA from 1 species